UCUAAGGGUGACUAAAAAUUUUUUUAGUCUAAAAAAUUAACAGGUUAAUGUUGACCGUCCUCAUUUCUCUUCUUAAUUUAAGAAAUGUUUCUAUACCUAUGUAUGAAUAGGGGCCGGUAGCUCAGGUGGUUAGAGCGCACCCCUGAUAAGGGUGAGGUCGGUAGUUCGAGUCUACCUCGGCCCACCAAAACUUAACUGGGGGAUUAGCUCAGCUGGGAGAGCGCCUGAUUUGCAUUCAGGAGGUCAGCGGUUCGAUCCCGCUAUCCUCCACCAAGAAACAUUUAGAUCUUUAAAAUUGUGAAUAAUAUUAUCAAUAUCUAUAUCCGAACAUUAGUAAUACUACUAAUGUUCAAAUAAAAAAUUUGAUUCAACACAGAAUUUUUUUCUGUGCAUAAAU
rnacentral:tRNA from 1 species